CAAAUUUCUGCCCUAUCAAGUUUCGAUGGUAGGAUAGAGGCCUACCAUGCUUUUUACGGGUAACGGCGAAUUAGGGUUCGAUUCCGGAGAGGGAGCCUGAGAAACGGCUACCACAUCUAAGGAAGGCAGCAGGCGCGCAAAUUACCCAAUCCUGAUUCAGGGAGGUAGUGACAAUAAAUAACAAUCCAGGACUUCGGUCUUGGAAUUGGAAUGAGAACAAUUUAAAUCUCUUAUCGAGGAACAAUUGGAGGGCAAGUCUGGUGCCAGCAGCCGCGGUAAUUCCAGCUCCAAUAGCGUAUAUUAAAGUUGUUGCAGUUAAAUAGCUCGUAGUUGAAUCUUGGGGCUGGUUUGGCGGUCGCGUCUUUGACGUGUACUGUCGGCCGGUUCUUUUACUUGUGGGGAACGUAUGUGCCCUUUGCGGGGUGUGUACGGGAACCAUGGCUGUUACUUUGAAAAAAUUAGAGUGUUAAAGCGGGCGUAAGCUUGUAUACAUUAGCAUGGAAUAAUAGAAUAGGAACUUGGUUUAUUG
rnacentral:rRNA from 1 species